CCUACGGGAGGCAGCAGUAGGGAAUCUUCGGCAAUGGACGGAAGUCUGACCGAGCAACGCCGCGUGAGUGAAGAAGGUUUUCGGAUCGUAAAGCUCUGUUGUAAGAGAAGAACGAGUGUGAGAGUGGAAAGUUCACACUGUGACGGUAUCUUACCAGAAAGGGACGGCUAACUACGUGCCAGCAGCCGCGGUAG
rnacentral:rRNA from 1 species